rnacentral:rRNA from 1 species
GCAGUCGACGGUACAGGAAGCAGCUUGCUGCUUCGCUGACGAGUGGCGGACGGGUGAGUAAUGUCUGGGAAACUGCCUGAUGGAGGGGGAUAACUACUGGAAACGGUAGCUAAUACCGCAUAAUGUCGCAAGACCAAAGAGGGGGACCUUCGGGCCUCUUGCCAUCGGAUGUGCCCAGAUGGGAUUAGCUUGUUGGUGGGGUAACGGCUCACCAAGGCGACGAUCCCUAGCUGGUCUGAGAGGAUGACCAGCCACACUGGAACUGAGACACGGUCCAGACUCCUACGGGAGGCAGCAGUGGGGAAUAUUGCACAAUGGGCGCAAGCCUGAUGCAGCCAUGCCGCGUGUAUGAAGAAGGCCUUCGGGUUGUAAAGACUUUUUCAGCGGGGAGGAAGGGAGUAAAGUUAAUACCUUUGCUCAUUGACGUUACCCGCAGAAGAAGCACUGGCUAACUCCGUGCCAGCAGCCGCGGUAAUACGGAGGGUGCAAGCGUUAAUCGGAAUUACUGGGCGUAAAGCGCACGCAGGCGGUUUGUUAAGUCAGAUGCGAAAUCCCCGGGCUCAACCUGGGAACUGCAUCUGAUACUGGCAAGCUUGAGUCUCGUAGAGGGGGGUAGAAUUCCAGGUGUAGCGGUGAAAUGCGUAGAGAUCUGGAGGAAUACCGGUGGCGAAGGCGGCCCCCUGGACGAAGACUGACGCUC